CGAAAUUCUUGGAUUCUUUUUCUUUUCUGUUCUCUUCGUCCUUUAUUCAGGUUUUCUAUUGUUACAAUCAACAGAUCGCAAGCGAUUACAAUAAUCGUUUCAAAGCCUCGUCUAAAUAUUUUUCAGCUGUUGAAGCGCCGGAGAAGUUCAAUCUGCUUUGCCUUGUUACUUAGAUAUUAGAUUAUCUGUGAACCACUA
rnacentral:sRNA from 1 species